rnacentral:tmRNA from 1 species
GGGGGCGACUUGGUUUUGACAGGGAAGUUUAAUUCGGGGGAAAGCGUGUAGCAGGCUCGGCUGCUUAAAAACGGAAAAAAUUUAAACGCAAACAGAAAUGUUACCAGCGCGGUAGCGGCUUAAUGCUAUCUGUUCUACUCUAAGUUGGUCUCAUAGCAAGAGUGGGGCAUAAGAUAUAUGAGAAGCCUUUUUUGAAGAAGCCCUAUUCAAAAAUUGUAUCUUGGGCUAGGCUUUGCAAACUUUGCCGGAAGAGUUUGUAAGAGUGACACUAAAUAUCGGCUACACACGUAGAACACCUUGAAUUGCUUUUUUGGACAUGGGUUCAAUUCCCAUCGCCUCCACCA